GGGGGCGUAAAGGUUUCGACGGGGGCUGGGAAGUAUGGUCGGCGAGCCGGGCGCAUGACCCGUAAAACGUGCAACUUUCUAAAUUUAAACGAGAACAACGAUUCCGUUUUGAUGGCCGCUUAAGGCCUCCGUCAGCCCGGAGAGUACCGCGUAUCCGGUGUCUGGCGUCAUGACGCGGUGAACGUCUGCUGAGGACGCGCAUAAUCAGCAGUCGCACAAUGCGCUACUGCUUCGCAUAGCCUGUUUGCCGGCGCUGCGGAGCGGGAAUGCAAAAGACAAACUACACUCGUAGAAGAUCGGAUGGAACGGUUUUCGGACGCGGGUUCAAUUCCCGCCGCCUCCAUUC
rnacentral:tmRNA from 1 species